rnacentral:rRNA from 1 species
UACAGAGGGUGCAAGCGUUGUUCGGAAUUAUUGGGCGUAAAGCGCGUGUAGGCGGCUUUGCAAGUCGGGUGUGAAAGCCCUCAGCUUAACUGAGGAAGUGCGCCCGAAACUGCUUGGCUUGAGUAUCGGAGAGGAUGGCGGAAUUCCCCAAGUAGAGGUGAAAUUCGUAGAUAUGGGGAGGAACACCGGUGGCGAAGGCGGCCAUCUGGACGGAUACUGACGCUGAGACGCGAAAGCGUGGGUAGCAAACAGG